UACGGGGGGGGCAAGCGUUGUUCGGAAUUACUGGGCGUAAAGCGCGUGUAGGCGGUCCGGUAAGUCCGCUGUGAAAGUCGGGGGCUCAACCCUCGAAUGCCGGUGGAUACUGUCGGGCUAGAGUGCGGAAGAGGCGAGUGGAAUUCCUGGUGUAGCGGUGAAAUGCGCAGAUAUCAGGAGGAACACCAAUUGCGAAGGCAGCUCGCUGGGACGUUACUGACGCUGAGACGCGAAAGCGUGGGGAGCAAACAGG
rnacentral:rRNA from 1 species